GGGAGAAGUGAAGGAUUCACUGAGGCAGCAGUCCCGAGGCUCUUUGCUGUCCUGUGAGGGGGGAAAAAAAGACAGAAUGAAGGUGGCGAUGGAAGCCUGCUGCUGUCUCAAACAGAAGAAGCAGGUGAUUUGACUGAGCGAAUGACGCACAAGACAGACGGAUGUGUGAAAUUAAAAGAUUCUGGUCAUCUCAGCAUUCUCCUCCUCUUAGACCUCACUGCAGCCUUCAACACCAUCAACCAUACCAUUCUUCUCUACUGCUGAGAAUCCUCCCUCAACAUCACUGACACCGCC